rnacentral:rRNA from 1 species
AUUGAACGCUGGCGGCAGGCUUAACACAUGCAAGUCGAGCGGAGUGAUGGUGCUUGCACUAUCACUUAGCGGCGGACGGGUGAGUAAUGCUUAGGAAUCUGCCUAUUAGUGGGGGACAACAUCUCGAAAGGGAUGCUAAUACCGCAUACGUCCUACGGGAGAAAGCAGGGGAUCACUUGUGACCUUGCGCUAAUAGAUGAGCCUAAGUCGGAUUAGCUAGUUGGUGGGGUAAAGGCCUACCAAGGCGACGAUCUGUAGCGGGUCUGAGAGGAUGAUCCGCCACACUGGGACUGAGCCACGGCCCAGACUCCUACGGGAGGCAGCAGUGGGGAAUAUUGGACAAUGGGGGGAACCCUGAUCCAGCCAUGCCGCGUGUGUGAAGAAGGCCUUAUGGUUGUAAAGCACUUUAAGCGAGGAGGAGGCUCUUUUGGUUAAUACCCAAGAUGAGUGGACGUUACUCGCAGAAUAAGCACCGGCUAACUCUGUGCCAGCCGCCGCAGUAA